GGGGAAACAAGAAGAAUCCUAGAUGUCUCAAUGAGAUGAAGAAUUGCCUACUGUUUAUCACCCUGACCCAGUCUUUCUCCCCAAGACAAGUUCUGGAAACUAAAAGUCCAUGAUCAAGGCAUCAGCAGAUCAACGUCUGGUAAGAGUCAGCUUCCUGAUGAGCAGAUGCCUCCCUGACUUAAUCUCACUUGUUGGAGAGCAAGAAAAGAGGAUGUUUUCCUGUCACUUCCUAUAAGGGUGCUAAUCACAGUCAUGUGAGCUCCACUCUUAUGACCUAAUUAUCUCCCAAAGGCUCCAUCUCCUAAUAUCAUCAUAUUGAAGAAAUGAAGCAUAAAACAUGAAACCAUUAACAUGAAAGCAGUGUUGGAAGAAGACAGGAACGUGGAAGAAUAAGACAUAAAGAGAGAGAGAGAGAAUGAGGGAACUAAAG
rnacentral:lncRNA from 10 species